rnacentral:rRNA from 1 species
UGGGGAAUAUUGCGCAAUGGGCGAAAGCCUGACGCAGCGACGCCGCGUGAGGGAUGAAGGUUUUCGGAUCGUAAACCUCUGUCAGAAGGGAAGAAACCGCACUGUGCUAAUCAGCAGUGCCUUGACGGUACCUUCAAAGGAAGCACCGGCUAACUCCGUGCCAGCAGCCGCGGUAAUACGGAGGGUGCAAGCGUUAAUCGGAAUUACUGGGCGUAAAGCGCACGUAGGCUGCUUUGUAAGUCAGGGGUGAAAUCCCACGGCUCAACCGUGGAACUGCCUUUGAUACUGCUUAGCUUGAAUCCGGGAGAGGGUGGCGGAAUUCCAGGUGUAGGGGUGAAAUCCGUAGAUAUCUGGAGGAACAUCAGUGGCGAAGGCGGCCACCUGGACCGGUAUUGAGGCUGAGGUGCGAAAGCGUGGGGAGCAAACAGG